GAUGAAGAACGCAGCGAAAUGCGAUACUUGGUGUGAAUUGCAGAAUCCCGUGAACCAUCGAGUCUUUGAACGCAAGUUGCGCCCGAAGCCAUCAGGUUGAGGGCACGUCUGCCUGGGCGUCACAUAUCGUUGCUCGAUGCCUAUCGCAUUGCGAUAGGACUUAGGGCGAAUGAUGGCUUCCCGUGAGCGUUGUUGCCUCGCGGUUGGUUGAAAAUCGAGUCCUUGGUAGGGUGUGCCAUGAUGGAUGGUGGUUGAGUGAUGAUGCUCGAGACCAAUCAUGGGUAACUCCACCAGAAUUGGGCUCGGUGACCCACAUGCGUCCCUUGGAUGCUCCCUAAGGAGACCUCAGGUCAGGCGGGGCUACCCGCUGAGUUUAAGCAUAUCAAUAAGCGGAGGA
rnacentral:misc_RNA from 1 species